rnacentral:misc_RNA from 1 species
AGGAAGCCUGGCAAUGGGGUUGAAUGCAUCCCCUAAAUCCAUGCCUUUCCGGACGCCGCCACGGUGGUCAAAUCUGCCUCUGUAGAUAUGAAAACAUGUCCUGCAAUGGCGACAGAUGGUCCAUCUGGACCUGAACCUGGCCUCCAAAUGGAUCGUCCUCUGGCAUGGAGAAAGAAUCCAUGUAAUUGAACUCAAAGAAGUCUAAAUCAGCCGCUUCUCCCCAUUUGGG